UUAGCUGUUAAAGCAAGCGUUGCCUACACAGCUGUGGUUUUAUUCUUCUAAGGGAAAGGCAGCUGAGCUAAAUGGAGCUGUACAGUGAGUACUCACUACAAUAAGUCAUAGGUUUUUUUUUUUAUUGUCUUUUACCCCCCCCCCCUUUUUUCUUUCUCCCCAUUCCUGAUGUGCUUUGCUUUUGGGUUUUUACAGUCCUGCAAAAUAGGAUGAAUGUUGAGCAGGUCACUGUGUACACCUGCAGCAUUGUUGAAAAUACCCCCUUGUCACAACUUUCUUACGUAUAUUUUGUUUGAAUUCAGUGAUGUAUGCUUUUCCUAGUAUGAGGUUCUCCUAUUGGAGUUGAUGGGGAAAUUGGAAAAUAUCAUGCAUUUUAAUGGGAGCAGACCGCAACUUUUUUGCUGCCUUUGAAGUUACUCUGUCAGAAAUAGAAGCAAGCUAAAAUUAGACAUGCUGUAGUUUCUCUUUUCUGCAUUUCCUCCCUCCUCUGCUGUCACAGAACAAGGCUUUUGAUAGUGAACUUGGUACUGUAGUGUUCAGGAUCUGUGAGAGAAAGGAGCAAGACAAGCAAAGCAAAGUGCAUGUGUAAGCAAGAUCAGAUCACAGUAGCAUCAGGCUGUCAGAACAAGGUUGUCCAUGUGGACAGAUCUGCCUUUUUGGCAUUGGAAAUCUGUCCCCAGUUUGGUACUGAUGCACCUGGCAGAGGAGAUGGCAUUUCAUUAAGGUUGCAGCCAUUUGUCUUAAGGACAUGAAAGAUUUGACACAUAUAGGGAAACAAGUGGUGACAUGAAUGGUCCUAUAAAUUAUCUUCUGCGGUUGACAGUAACCUUUUACAUAAAAAGCUAUACUUCUACUCUGAUUUGUGUAUGAGGGAACAGUCUGAGUUUCCAAGAUUCAAGCUGAAGUCCAACCUUAAAUUUUACAGAGAUUUCAUAGUCUGACUGGGGAGGCAUGGGAGAGACUGCCCAGAUAAAGCUGAGGUAAAUCAGAGCAGCUACAGGCUGUCUCUGCCUUACACUACUUAGCAGCUGGUGCAUCCCUAGCAAUCAGGAGUGAAACAGGGGAGGGAGGGAAAUGCCUUGUUAAUCCCUCCCUUCUGAACUUUCUGGAACUGCUUGGCAAGUGCAGCAAUUGUGACGUAAGUACCAGCUGCCAAGCCUGGAAACAAGCUUCAGUGGUACACGGAUUAAGUGGCUAGUGGCCUUGCAAAAGCCCAUGGGUCUGUUAGAACAGCUGCUUCUGAGCUUGCUGGAGUGUUAACACUGCUUGAGGACCUUCAUGCUUCUUAUCUGCAGUACAGCCAGACAAGUCAAGAAUUGUUUUAUGAACCUCUGAUGUUUGAUGAUCACCAUGUCAAACACCUUGUGGGGGAACCUUCUCAAGCAGCAGGGAGCCACCACCUCAUGAAAUGCAGAGGAAAUGUGCUCAAAACAAGGAAGGAGUCCUACAUUUUAAAACCCAGAGAAGGGUUUAGAGGUACAAGUAAACUAGUUUCUUAUGAUUGCAUUCAUGUGUUUUAUACCUCUAUCAAUGUGGCUUUUAAAAAUAUAAAAUCAUACGAUCUUAUUCUGAAGAAGAGGGCUAUCUUGUUC